UGUAAGAGAGGAUAGGGAACACUUGGAGAAGGACAUUCAUUUUUAUCCAAGAGACUCAGCCAAACAUAGAUCAUGAUUGUAUGUGACUUGCCUGGAGUGCCGAGCCACUGAAAACCUGCCUAGCGAGGUCGGCAGCCUACAGGGGGCGCCAGGAGAAAACUAAGUUUGCAGCACCACAACCCAGCCAAUAGGAGGCACUCAUGAGAGCAAAGGAUGCUGGUCACCACUCCAAGCACAACAGCUACAGCCACUGGGAUGAGAAUGGCAAUGAUCAACCCCACGGCUGGGAAAAAAUAAUGAAAAACAGUCUUUCGAUGGGCCUAUUCCACCAAGGGUAUAAGCUCGUAAGUCCAGGCGGUAACUUGUUUUGCCUUGAAGAUCAAGUAUUCUCAAAGACUUUUUCGUUAGCCAUAUACAGAAAAAUUGUAUCUCACACCAGGUUGAAACAGAGCUGCAGAAGAAUAUCACUGGUCCAGUAAAGGAGAGAGACAACUGUUGAUUAUUUUGUCUGCAAAAAAACUCUACAAAAGUACAUUACAAUGAUUUGGACAUGUAUAUAUGCAUAUCUGUUUGUUUUUCCUAAAGUUAAUUAAGUAUUUUAGGAAAAAAUUGUCAGAUUGGCAACUAGCAAGAGUUGGUAGCCACACUCUGAACCCCUGCUCUAACGUCUGGAGAACAAGUUUUCAAGAGAAAAAUAUGAGCAUUGAAGUUGUUAGGACACAAAAUGCAUGCAUGUAUUAUGGAGGCACAGAAGAGCGAUGAUUCUGCCUGACCAAGAGGAUUGGAAGCACCUAGUGUGAAAUUGUAGAUUUUCUGAUUGGCAUGCACUGGAAAGUCACAGUGAUGUUUCUCAUUCAAUUCAUCUACUUUGCAUGUAACUUUUUCUCUAGAUAUUCUGUGAAUUAAAAAAAGAUUAUUUUUAAUUUCUGAGCAACCCCUUUAACAGCACUGAAUUAAGUUUCUUACUACAGACUUCACUGGAUGAAGAUGUUAUAAGGAAUGAACGGCAUGUCACUGUACCAUUAUUUAGUUAAUGCAGUGUCAUGAUUUGCCUACUGUGACGUUGCACUCCAAAUGUUUUAUGGAAAUAUGCUUAUGAGUGUGACAAUAAUGUAAUUGGAAUGUACUUUAUGCAAAAGAUCUCUUGUAAGGUAUCAUUACAAAGCUUAUAAUCAAUGAGUGUGUUCAUCCUAUUUGUAUGAACGUAUCAUUCUUGAUCUGAAACUAGGAGUAUGAAGUAUAGCUCUGAAGUCCUAUUGUAAUUAUGCAAAGUGUGGGCCAUUAAUGAGGGUUUGGAAGCUUGAUGGCUCCCAUUGACUAGGACAAUUCGUUAUAAAUGGUCUGUUUACUUGCAAACCUUCCUGGGUGCAUGUCGGCCAACCAGAGGGUAAUGAAGAAUGAGGUCUCACAGGACAUGUGACCAUGUCACACGAUAUUGGAAUCCAUCUUAAACCUGGUGUUUUCCAUUUAGAGGGGGGGGUGAGGACCCAGAGACACAAAAGAUUCCUACCUUGUGCCACAGCUAUAAAAGGGGGUGGAACAGAACAAAGGGCUGCCAGUCAUGAGAACACUCCUAGUUUCCACCUAAGAUGUCUGCUAACAAAGACUGUACCAGGGGAAAGGAUUGGGCCCAGACUAGGAAGGAGUCUGGUCUGUGAAAGAAGCUUAUUGGAACAUCUCUAAGGGUGAGAUUUUACCUGUAAUCAGCAAAGAAUCCUGUGGCACCUUAUAGACUAACAGAAGUUUUGGAGCAUGAGCUUUCGUGGGUGAAUACCCACUUCGUCAGAUGCAGAUCCAGACUAACACGGCUACCCCUCUGAUACCUGUAAUCAGUUUCUUAAUGUAUUGGCUUAGACUUGCGUGUUUUUUCUUUAUUUUGCUUGGUAACUUACUUUGUUCUGUCUGUUAUUACUUGAAACCACUUAACCCCUACUUUUUAUACUUAAUAAAAUCACUUUUGUUUAUUAAUGAA